UACACCAAAUAUCCCAAAGAGAGCAGCAGCCUUUGAUUGGCUUUUGACGCACAUAAACGCCAAAACUUUUAUAUCUUCCAAAACCUUGGACACGGAGAUCUGCUUAUCUUGCGUUGCGCAAGCGUUUGGUAUUUUUGUCUUGGCAGUGGGAUGGGGGUUUUAUAUUUGCAUUCACAAUACAUCAGUUGUUAGAAAAAUGUUGGUUCCUGGUUCUUGUUGAUAAAUAGGUGUUUGAUGUUCUAGCUGCUGCCAUGGUUCUCGCCUUUCUUGGAUGGGGGAGUUUUAUCAUCUGCAGGUAAUGCAUAAUAAGUGUGUUUUGAAAUGUUUGUUAUCUACCUACAAAAAUUUAAGGUGGAAAUAACAUUCAAUAUACUUACAGGAACAUGUGGGUCUCAGGCAUGAGAAGUUAAAA
rnacentral:lncRNA from 1 species